GAACGCUGGCGGCAGGCCUAACACAUGCAAGUCGAACGGUAACAGGAAGCAGCUUGCUGCUUUGCUGACGAGUGGCGACGGGUGAGUAAUGUCUGGGAAACUGCCCGAUGAGGGGGAUAACUACUGGAAACGGUAGCUAAUACCGCAUAAUGUCGCAAGACCAAAGAGGGGGACCUUCGGGCCUCUUGCCAUCGGAUGUGCCCAGAUGGGAUUAGCUUGUUGGUGAGGUAACGGCUCACCAAGGCGACGAUCCCUAGCUGGUCUGAGAGGAUGACCAGCCACACUGGAACUGAGACACGGUCCAGACUCCUACGGGAGGCAGCAGUGGGGAAUAUUGCACAAUGGGCGCAAGCCUGAUGCAGCCAAUGCCGCGUGUAUGAAGAAGGCCUUUGGGUUGUAAAGUACUUUCAGCGGGGAGGAAGGGGUUAAGGUUAAUAACCUUAGCCAUUGACGUUACCCGCAGAAGAAGCACCGGCUAACUCCGUGCCAGCCGCCGC
rnacentral:rRNA from 1 species